rnacentral:tRNA from 1 species
GGACCCGUAAUCUAGUGGUUUGGAUGCACCAAGAGUGCAUCGCCAUAGAUGAUGCUCGCUUGACGUGCGAGUUCUCGUGAGUUCGACUCUCACCGGGUCCACCA